rnacentral:lncRNA from 1 species
UGGAGCCCUAAUCUUGAAAGGGAGAGAUCAGUUGUUUUCCCCCAUUUCCCCACAUCUCCAUCCGCCUCACUCAUCUCUCGAACCACCAAUAGCUUUCGGAAACAAGCAGUAGUGGCACGCCAUCAGGAGCGGCCACCUUCAACAAAAACACCAGCAACUCUCUCAUCUCCUCUAACCUACAGCUGCCGGACCCCCUUCUCCAUGUUAUCACCACCAGAUUCUAGCCUUCUUCUGCCUAGAACACCUAGCUCCUCCACUUCCAAGCCAAAACAGACCAGCCACAACCCCUCAAUUUUUAAAAACUAACAACGCCUCUUAGAAAAAAAGGGAAUGGAAACACACACACACACUAAAAAGAAGAAUGAAAGAGACCUGAAAUUGGUACCUAAAACAGUCCCUAUAACCUACAUAAAACCAGCUCUAUUUUAUCUCAAAACAACCCCCGUAAUUUCUGAAAAUCAGCCAAAAACACAGCUUAAGCUUUUCCAAAAUGUAGCAGAAAAACAACCACAAAAUCCAUAGUGUGAACUCCAUUUUCCUUCGAGUUUUAGUUGCAUUCGAAUAACAACGUUCAAUGCGUCGAGGUCACUGUUGCAAAGUUCAAUUAAUAUCACGUUGUAGUCAAUUUGAUUUGAAUUUUUACGUUUGGAGCAUAUUCAGCAAAAGGUCCAUUUCUUUCCUCAUUUCAAUCAUUAUUUUAGCAAUUUUAGUUUUACUUCUGCUAUUUUUGUUUGUGAAAAAAUGUAUGUUAAGCUCUUUGCUGGGUAAUUUUAUAUGACUCUUUUGAAAUAUUAGAGUGUCGACUUGAUAAGUUUGCUCACCUUGUUGGAAGUUUGCUGGACAAGUUUUGGGUUAAAGACACCAUAUCUUGCUUGGGUAUUUUUUUUAGAUCGUAAAUUUGCUUCAAAUUAUGUGGGAGUUGGUAAUAUCAUUUACUAGAAGUUGUUUCAUAGACUUGAAAUCGUCUUAUUCCUACUUCUCAUAUUCACUUGGACUGUUUAACAAAUUGGACCUGGACAAAGUUGGGCCGUAUAAUAACUCACAUGAAACAUACAAUUAUUACAACCUUCCAUUCUGUCAUGCUUCUGAUUCUCACAAAUGGGGUGUCCUUGGUGAAGUUUUGGGUAGAAAUGAGCUUAUUUAUAGUCAAAUUGACAUAAGGUUUCAAAAUAUGGGAGAGAGAACGUUGCAAUUUGUGAUUCUAUUUUGUUCAAAAUUUGAAUAAGUUAAAUAACUCGUGAACACUGCUAAUAUACUUUUAGGCACACAUUUAAUCUAUUAUCAUGAUUGUGUACACGUUCACGUGACAUAAUUAUGAUUUCCAAAUUAAAUCCAGGUAUGCGUUCGUGCAACUUCGGCCAAAUAAUCUUAUAUUAACAAAGCUUUAUUAAUUGUGUACACGUACGCAUGACAUGAUUCAUGAAGCGUCGAACGAAAUGAGUACACGUACGCGUGACUCGUUUCAGGAUAAUUUCUUAAUUACGAGCGGUAAAGUUAAAAUGUACACAGGUUCUAAAAUGAGUAAUUAAACAAUUUAAUUAAGCCAGGUAUGUUUAAAGUGACCGUGCUAAAAUCGCAGAAUUCGGGAAUGCCUAACACCUUAUCCCGGGUUAACAGAAUUCCUUACCUGGUCUUCUAGUUUUGCGGACUUUAAAACAGAGUCAAAUUUUCUCGAUUUGGGAUUUAAAAUAAACUGGUGACUUGGGACACCAUAAAUUAUCCCAAGUGGCAACUCUGAAUCUAGUAAAUAAUCUCAUUUCGAUUAUUGUCAUUUUAAUUGGAAAAACUCCCAUAUCCCCUCAGGAAAAAGGAGGUGUGACAUCAACCAUCUAUUGUUGAUUUACCUUAAUUUUGGUCUAUAAUCUGCUACUUAUCACUUGAAACCUCUUAUGUAAUAUAUUGUCACUAGGGCUCAUGUCUCGUUAGGGAACAUCUAAAGUUAUUUGCCUGAUCCACCUAGGGGAGAUACUAUACUUCAAUAACUGUAUUUCUUGGUAUCCCAAUGUGAUUCACCUCAUGGGGGUAUUCUAAUCCUGUGCAAUUCAUGAAAUCCCUUUUCUUUGAAUCAUUAACCAAUCAAAGGCCUUAACGUUAUCCUCUUAUCUAUCACAAUUACACCAUUAUUCUACUAGCAGGGCAAUAUUUCAUCUCUUUAAAUUGCUCAUAGUCUCAGACUCCUCUGAGUUCAUUCAGGCUAUACUGCGCUUUCUAUAACUUACGGAAUUCAUCAACCCUCUUGUUUUGAUGGACUUAAUCCCGAGGUCUUGCCUAUUCUCAUCACCUUCUCGCCCAGAUUUUUCUUAUUCUUACUCUUGUCUACCUAAACAUUAUCACUCUAUCAUACUUUAGUUUGCGACCUACCCAUAUCUAUUUAUACUACUCACAACCAUCCUUUACCUUGCUAGCACCAUAGAUUUCCUUAUAUCACUUUGGAACCUCAAGCAAGACAUCACACUGUCUCUAUCUCUUCUUUACUCUCUUAACUAGACAUCUCGAUACCUGGAAACUAUAGGGUUGAAGAUAUGCUACUGACGACACUAGCAUCAUUUUUGGAUACUGAAUCACAGCUCUUCUAGUCCUCUACCUAAAAUAUGGACUAUUCACAACCUUUUGCACUUGAGUAUCUCGUACCUUAUUCACCUUUACCUUUCUUAUCUUUAAAUAACGCAUUGUAUCUUCUAUCACCUUCAUAACCUCCCUUCCACAUAGGUGGAAUUCACAUCCACACCUUAAAGACUUACUAUAAUUCUUGCACCUCUGAUGCACACAUAAUCUGGCAGGAGCUUCACACUAACUUCUUAUGAGGCUGGUACUCUUCUAACUAGCUUUAUCGUAGAGCUGUUAUAGAAUAUGACUACCUUACUAUCUCUCUUGUACCUCUGAUAUGAAGAGUAAUUUUACAAUGUUCUGAAUUAUGAUUUUUAUACUCAUCGGGGUCUGAUAACCAGACCCCUAAUUCACUUAGCUGAUGUAGCUCUUUGUUUCUUCUUCUAUCUCAGCCUUUAAGUAGGCUUACGCUAUCUUCUGAUCUGCGGCUCAGGGUAUUAGUUAUUACUUUAUCCCCCCGUGGAUGCUAUGGAACAUCCAGGAUAUAACCUUCUAGCAAUUCAAGCUUUUGUAUGUCACGUAGACUCAAUUCUUUCUUUCAACUUAUACUGAAGUCUCCUAUAGCUGUAUCAUUAUUAACAUAUAUGCCGCAUAUAUAACACUAUGAAAUCUUAAGUGUGUUCAUAACGUAACUAACUCUGGGUCAUAGAUCGAAUAAUUCCUUUCGUGCCUUCUUGAGGUUAAGUGACGGUGAUGGGUUUGAUUAUGGUCAGCUAUUAUGAUAAGAGAGGUUGUUAUGGGCAUAUAUGUGAUGUGUCAUGUCGUGUGGUUGUAUCCUGUGUGGGUAGGCAUAAGUUUUCGCAAUUGGUUGAGGCUAAUACUGUGUGUUGAUGUAGGAAUCAGACAUUUUGGAAAUGAUCGAGAGGUGAGAAAUUUGGUUCUAAGAUUAUCAGCAUGGGUGGAAGGAAUAAUUUUCAGUUAGGAUAGUGUCGUCGGGCCUAUGUGGAUUGUGGGUGACGUGGGAUCACAUGUGGGUGUAUGUAUGAUAGCUUACUCAGUGAUUUGAUGACUUCAGAAUGGUUCUUGGCACGUUCAAGGAUGAACGUUAGUUUACAAGGGGGAGGAUGUAACGACCCGGCCGAUUGUUUUAAGAAUUGGCGUCCUGUUCGGUGACUUAAGGUCUGGAGCAACUUCGUAUUAUAUGUUAUGACUUGUGUGUGUGGCUGAGUUCAGUUUUCGGAUGAUUCAAGGUCAAUUUGGAAGAAUGAUUCUUGUUUUAGAAGCUUAAGCAGUAAGAGUUGACCGGAAUUUGACUUUUGUGCAGACGACUUCGAAAUGGAGUUUUGAUGAUUCCAAUAGCUUCGUAUGGUGAUUUGGACUUAGGCGUGCAUCCGAAUUUGGAGGUCCGUAGGAUAAUUUGAAU